UAGGGAAUCUUCCGCAAUGGACGAAAGUCUGACGGAGCGACGCCGCGUGAGCGAAGAAGGUCUUCGGAGCGUAAAGCUCUGUUGUUAGGGAAGAAGAAGUGCCGUUCGAACAGGGCGGCACGGUGACGGUACCUAACGAGAAAGCCCCGGCUAACUACGUGCCAGCAGCCGCGGUAAUACGUAGGGGGCGAGCGUUGUCCGGAAUUAUUGGGCGUAAAGCGCGCGCAGGCGGUCCCUUAAGUCUGAUGUGAAAGCCCACGGCUUAACCGUGGAGGGUCAUUGGAAACUGGGGGACUUGAGUGCAGAAGAGGAGAGCGGAAUUCCACGUGUAGCGGUGAAAUGCGUAGAGAUGUGGAGGAACACCAGUGGCGAAGGCGGCUCUCUGGUCUGCAACUGACGCUGAGGCGCGAAAGCGUGGGGAGCAAACAGG
rnacentral:rRNA from 1 species